GAUGAACGCUGACCGAAUGCUUAACCCAUGCAAGUCUUUGGCGAAUCUAUGCUUGCCCUCGCCAUCCGAGGCCGACCGGUGAGUAACGCGUAAAGAACUUGCCCUGCAAACUGGGAUAACCCACGGAAACGACUGACAACACCUGAUACAGUUGCCGGCACGCAUGUGCCUGGCAAUGAAAAGAGAUGCUGCGGGAGAGCUUUGCGUCCUAUUAUCUUGUUGGCGGGGUAACGGCCCACCAAGGCGAUGAUAGGUAGCCGGCCUGAGAGGGUGAACGGCCACCAGGGGACUGAAAUACGGCCCUUACUCCUACGGGAGGCAGCAGUGGGGAAUAUUGGACAAUGGGGGCAACCCUGAUCCAAAAUUCUGUGUGCACGAUGAAGGUUUUCGGAUUGUAAAGUGCUUUCAGCAGGGAAAAAGGAAGUGACGGUACCUGCAGAAAAUCCGACGGCUAUCUACGUGCCAGCAGCCGCGGUAAUACGUAUGUCGCAAGCGUUAUCCGGAAUUAUUGGGCGUAAAGAGCUCGUAAGCGGCUGGUCGCGUCUGUCGUGAAAUCCUCUGGCUUAACUGGGGGCUUGCGGUGGGUACGGGCCGGCUUGAGUGCGGUAGGGGAGACUGGAACUCCUGGUGUAGCGGUCGAAUGCGCAGAUAUCAUGACCAACAUCGGUGGCCACGCGCGUCUCUGGGCCGUCACUGACGCUGAUGAGCGAAUUCCUGUCGAGCGUACGGGUUAGAUACCCCGGUAGUCUUAGUGCGAUUCCACAUUGAAUUCAAGCUUAAUUCCACCGUCGUAUCUCAAGGUAUAUAAAAACCCCCAACCCCAGUGUAAAAAAAAAAAAAAAAAUUA
rnacentral:rRNA from 1 species